GACCUCGGAUCAGGUAGGGAUACCCGCUGAACUUAAGCAUAUCAAUAAGCGGAGGAAAAGAAACCAACAGGGAUUGCCCUAGUAACGGCGAGUGAAGCGGCAACAGCUCAAAUUUGAAAUCUGGCGCAAGCCCGAGUUGUAAUUUGUAGAGGAUGCUUCUGAGUGGCCACCGACCUAAGUUCCUUGGAACAGGACGUCAUAGAGGGUGAGAAUCCCGUAUGUGACAGGAAAUGGCACCCUAUGUAAAUCUCCUUCGACGAGUCGAGUUGUUUGGGAAUGCAGCUCUAAGCGGGAGGUAAAUUUCUUCUAAAGCUAAAUAACGGCCAGAGACCGAUAGCGCACAAGUAGAGUGAUCGAAAGAUGAAAAGCACUUUGGAAAGAGAGUUAAAAAGUACGUGAAAUUGUUGAAAGGGAAGCUCAAGCUGCCAGACUUGGCCGCGCCUCUUCGGUGGCGCGGGCAGGCCAGCAUCAGUCCGGGCGGCCUGAUAAAGACCUUUGGAAUGUAGCUCCCUCGGGAGUGUUAUAGCCUUGGGUGUAAUGGGGUCAGCCUGGACUGAGGAUCGCGUUCGCUAGGAUGCUGGCGUAAUGGCAGUUUGCGACCCGUCUUGUAACACGGACCAAGGAGUCUAACAUCUGUGCGAGUGUUU
rnacentral:rRNA from 1 species